rnacentral:rRNA from 1 species
AUGAAUUGCCUAAGUUGGAACUGCCGGGGAGGGAACACCCGGACAGUUCGUGAGUUAGCGACAAUCUGCAAGUCGCGUUCCCCCACGUUCGUAUUUUUAUGUGAGACUAGACAAAAGGAAGUAAAGAUGAAAAGACUGCGAAACCGGCUGGGUUUGAAGGGUUUUUGUGGAGUCGAUAGCAAUGGCAUGAGUGGUGGUCUCGCGGUGUACUGGCAUGAAAACUGUGUAGUGGAAAUCUUGAACAAAGAUGAGCGACAUAUUGAUGCUUUGAAUAGGAUGUAUGAAGGUGCAGAACAAUGGCGGGCAACUUUUGUAUAUGGGGAGCCUCGGGUGGAAAAUAGACAUCUUAUGUGGUCGAAGCUGUAG